rnacentral:pre_miRNA from 1 species
AUAAUACUUCCUUCGUCCGAAAAUAAUUGUCCUACAAGUAGAUGUAUCUAGAUUUAUUUUAGUUAUAGAUACAUUUAUUUUAUACAUUUUUAGGACAAGUAUUUCCGGAUGAAGUGAGUAAUAU